rnacentral:rRNA from 1 species
GUCCUUAGUUACCAGCACGUUAUGGUGGGCACUCUAAGGAGACUGCCGGUGACAACCGGAGGAAGGUGGGGAUGACGUCAAGUCAUCAUGGCCCUUACGGCCUGGGCGUACACACGUGCUACAAUGGUCGGUACAAAGGGUUGCCGAAGCCGCGAGGUGGAGCUAAUACCCAUAAAACCCGAAUCGUAGUCCGGAUCGCAGUCUGCAACUCGACUGCGUGAAGUCGGAAUCGCUAGUAAUCGUGAAUCAGAAUGUCACGGUGAAUACGUUCCCGGGCCUU